GCGUAUCAAAUUGUAACUCUUUCACCUAUAUAUAUAACAGUACUAUAAAGCAUCCAUUUGAACUUAGUUACAAGAACUAUCAUGGGAAAUAUUUUAUAGGGAUUAAGUAUCUAGCAAAUAACGAUUAUCUGAAGAAUUUGAAUCUUCUGUGGAAAUACGAUGAUGGGAUGUAUCGCUUGGAUUCUUUCAGAAUUUGAGAAGCUGAUGUAGGUAUGGAAUUCAGUUAGACUUGUCUAUAAUUAAAUGUUACAUUUGAUUAGAAUCAAAUUUGAAGAAUCUUGAGUUGUGAUCAAAUGCAUGAAUAUUUAUAUAUACAGAAUAGGUAAUGAACCUUUCUUCUAUUACAAUUUUACUAUGCAAUUCUUGAGGUUGGAGAUGGAGUGUCUAGGAUAUUUUCUACUUUGGGUGACACUCAUCCAAGAAGCAAUGGUUUUGACAAGGUUGGAACAGGAGAAACUGGUAGAUCUUUAGUUUAUAUUCUUUGUUUUCUGAUUUAUUGUUAGUUGUUACUAAAUUACACCCUUACAUUCUAUAAUUUUUAAUAGAAAAUAGAUGAUUGGCUUGCAGAAAACUGUAAGAAAGAUGAAGGCACAGAUCUUCUGAAAGACAAGCAAGCAUUUACCAUGAUGAUGUAGUCAUCUCUGACUUAGACUGAUAUUAGUUUACCUUUCAUUGCUACUGCUGUUGUGGAUGGCCCAAAACACAUUGACACCACACUGAUAGGGGUCGAAUUUGCAGAACUGUGUUCAGAUUUGCUGGACAGGCUUUUAUCACCUGUUGAAACUACCUUGAGAGAUACAAAGCUCUCCUUCAAAGAUAUAGAUGAAGUAAUCUCAUUGAUGGUUCAACUCGCAUCCCAGCCGUUUAGGAGCAUGAGGAAAUGACUAGAAAAGAGCCAAAUGUGACUGUAAAUCCUCAUGAAGUUGUUGCUCUUGGGGCUAUAGUUCAGGACUUGGAAUUUUUGGUGGUGUGAUGACAGAUUAUCUGAAGGAACCCAACCUUACCAAUUUCCAAAUCAGGGUUGUUUUCUUUUCCACUGCAGUAGAUGAAUAUAAACCAAUAUCAAGGUGAGAGAGUUUGUGAGGGACAACAAAUCUCUUGGAAUCUUUUGCUUAGAUGGCAUCCCACAUGUGCCACAUGGGGUUCCUCAAAUUGUGGUGAAAUUUGGUAUUGAUGCUGAUGAAAUCCUUUCGGUUACUGUAGUUGACAAGGGAAUUGGAAAUAAGCAGGAUAUCACUAUAACUGGUGCUAGCACCUUGUAAAGUGAUAAGGUAUGUUUUGAAAAAACUGUUGUUAUGAAGAGUGUUUGGUAUUUGUUCAAAUUAAAAUUUUUGUUUAAUAUGGGGCUUGAAUGAUCCUGAAAUCCAACCUAUAGCUUAGUCGAAUAUAAUUAUC